rnacentral:miRNA from 1 species
AAUGAUGAAAUUUUAAUG